rnacentral:rRNA from 1 species
UUGAAGAGUUUGAUCAUGGCUCAGAUUGAACGCUGGCGGCAGGCCUAACACAUGCAAGUCGAACGGUAACAGGAAUCAGCUUGCUGAUUCGCUGACGAGUGGCGGACGGGUGAGUAAUGUCUGGGAAACUGCCUGAUGGAGGGGGAUAACUACUGGAAACGGUAGCUAAUACCGCAUAACGUCGCAAGACCAAAGAGGGGGACCUUCGGGCCUCUUGCCAUCGGAUGUGCCCAGAUGGGAUUAGCUAGUAGGUGGGGUAAAGGCUCACCUAGGCGACGAUCCCUAGCUGGUCUGAGAGGAUGACCAGCCACACUGGAACUGAGACACGGUCCAGACUCCUACGGGAGGCAGCAGUGGGGAAUAUUGCACAAUGGGCGCAAGCCUGAUGCAGCCAUGCCGCGUGUAUGAAGAAGGCCUUCGGGUUGUAAAGUACUUUCAGCGGGGAGGAAGGGAGUAAAGUUAAUACCUUUGCUCAUUGACGUUACCCGCAGAAGAAGCACCGGCUAACUCCGUGCCAGCAGCCGCGGUAAUACGGAGGGUGCAAGCGUUAAUCGGAAUUACUGGGCGUAAAGCGCACGCAGGCGGUUUGUUAAGUCAGAUGUGAAAUCCCCGGGCUCAACCUGGGAACUGCAUCUGAUACUGGCAAGCUUGAGUCUCGUAGAGGGGGGUAGAAUUCCAGGUGUAGCGGUGAAAUGCGUAGAGAUCUGGAGGAAUACCGGUGGCGAAGGCGGCCCCCUGGACGAAGACUGACGCUCAGGUGCGAAAGCGUGGGGAGCAAACAGGAUUAGAUACCCUGGUAGUCCACGCCGUAAACGAUGUCGACUUGGAGGUUGUGCCCUUGAGGCGUGGCUUCCGGAGCUAACGCGUUAAGUCGACCGCCUGGGGAGUACGGCCGCAAGGUUAAAACUCAAAUGAAUUGACGGGGGCCCGCACAAGCGGUGGAGCAUGUGGUUUAAUUCGAUGCAACGCGAAGAACCUUACCUGGUCUUGACAUCCACGGAAGUUUUCAGAGAUGAGAAUGUGCCUUCGGGAACCGUGAGACAGGUGCUGCAUGGCUGUCGUCAGCUCGUGUUGUGAAAUGUUGGGUUAAGUCCCGCAACGAGCGCAACCCUUAUCCUUUGUUGCCAGCGGUCCGGCCGGGAACUCAAAGGAGACUGCCAGUGAUAAACUGGAGGAAGGUGGGGAUGACGUCAAGUCAUCAUGGCCCUUACGACCAGGGCUACACACGUGCUACAAUGGCGCAUACAAAGAGAAGCGACCUCGCGAGAGCAAGCGGACCUCAUAAAGUGCGUCGUAGUCCGGAUUGGAGUCUGCAACUCGACUCCAUGAAGUCGGAAUCGCUAGUAAUCGUGGAUCAGAAUGCCACGGUGAAUACGUUCCCGGGCCUUGUACACACCGCCCGUCACACCAUGGGAGUGGGUUGCAAAAGAAGUAGGUAGCUUAACCUUCGGGAGGGCGCUUACCACUUUGUGAUUCAUGACUGGGGUGAAGUCGUAACAAGGUAACCGUAGGGGAACCUGCGGUUGGAUCACCUCCUU